rnacentral:tRNA from 1 species
UCCCUGGAGGUCCAAUGAUUAGGACUCCAUGCUUCCACUGUAGAGGGCACAGGUUCCAUUCCUGUUCAGGGAA